CCUACGGGAGGCAGCAGUGGGGAAUUUUGGACAAUGGGCGAAAGCCUGAUCCAGCAAUGCCGCGUGAGUGAAGAAGGCCUUCGGGUUGUAAAGCUCUUUUGUCAGGGAAGAAACGGUGAGAGCUAAUAUCUCUUGCUAAUGACGGUACCUGAAGAAUAAGCACCGGCUAACUACGUGCCAGCAGCCGCGGUAAUACGUAGGGUGCAAGCGUUAAUCGGAAUUACUGGGCGUAAAGCGUGCGCAGGCGGUUUUGUAAGUCUGAUGUGAAAUCCCCGGGCUCAACCUGGGAAUUGCAUUGGAGACUGCAAGGCUAGAAUCUGGCAGAGGGGGGUAGAAUUCCACGUGUAGCAGUGAAAUGCGUAGAUAUGUGGAGGAACACCGAUGGCGAAGGCAGCCCCCUGGGUCAAGAUUGACGCUCAUGCACGAAAGCGUGGGGAGCAAACAGGAUUAGAUACCCUGGUAGUCCACGCCCUAAACGAUGUCUACUAGUUGUCGGGUCUUAAUUGACUUGGUAACGCAGCUAACGCGUGAAGUAGACCGCCUGGGGAGUACGGUGCAAGNUUAAAACGUCAAAGGAUUGACGGCNGAGAGNGCGAGGACGACGACGAGGGAGGAG
rnacentral:rRNA from 1 species